CUCGUUUUACAGAUUAAAAAGCAUACUAAAAUCACUGCUUGGGUCAGAGAUUGUAAGGAUAAACUUAUGGCCACUUCCUUUACUUUCAACAAGGUGAACUUGAAGCAGGGACUUCAACCAAUAAUAUGAAUUUUAUUACCUGUCAAAUGCAGUUUAUAAUGGAUGCUUUUUCAUUGGCAACAUCCCCAUCCCCAGAAUUAUUUAAUCACAAAUCUCUGUGAAGAAAAUAUUCUCAUGCACUCAUCAGAUUUUCCAAUUACUGUGUAUGUCUUCUUGGUUUUAUCUCGACUCUUCAUGCAUGAAAAAAGGGGUCCAGCUUUUGGAGCCUCUGUGUCAGCCUCUGUGCAAGCAAACAUUUCAUGAAGCAGUGGUGCUUAGCACUGACUGACACAGCUGAUAUACUUGUACCAUGCAGUGCAUUUGCAUGACUCUGCAGCUUCCCCUUUUAGACUUUGCUGUCCAUGGGUGGCCUGUGCCCAAAUGCAUCUGACACCUCAACAUGCCGAUUGCAGCAGGGGAUACAGUUUUCUCCCAGGCAGCAACACAGAGCUCCCGUCAGAAGGAGGAAGACAGAGCAAAAAUGACGCAAGCAAAGCUACUGGCCACUCUCAGACAGAGAACUGAGACCAGGGGAACAUGCCUGCAGCAGCAUAAACAGAUCAACACUUCAGCUGUCAUUGCAAGGCUUUUUCUCCAUCUGAAACAACUUGUUCUUCAUGGAAAGAAACUUGCUUGGCCAAGCCUCUAUCCACGGCUGUAAAUAUGACCUAUAGGAAGUAUUUCUUCAAACUGGAUGAGCAUGUUCUCUUCACGUAUUUUGUUUUUUCCAGUAAUAAAGCACAAAUAGAAGUAUUUCUACA
rnacentral:lncRNA from 1 species